UAAAAGUUCGUAAACAAGGUUUUCCGUAGGUGAACCCUGCGGAAAAGAAUCAUUAAAAGAAAUUUUAAUAAUUUUUGAAAAUGGAUUUUUUUUGUUUUGGCAAGAGCAUGAGAGCUUUUACUGGCCAAGAAGACAAGAGAUGGAGAGUCCAGCCGGGCCUGCGCUUAAGUGCGCGGUCUUGCUAGGCUUGUAAGUAUCUUUCUUGCUAUUCCAAACGGUGAGAGAUUUCUGUGCUUUUGUUAUAGGACAAUUAAAACCGUUUCAAUACAACACACUGUGGAGUUUUCAUAUCUUUGCAACUUUUUCUUUGGGCAUUCGAGCAAUCGGGGCCCAGAGGUAACAAACACAAACAAUUUUAUCUAUUCAUUAAAUUUUUGUCAAAAACAAGAAUUUUCGUAACUGGAAAUUUUAAAAUAUUAAAAACUUUCAACAACGGAUCUCUUGGUUCUCGCAUCGAUGAAGAACGCAGCGAAAUGCGAUGCGUAAUGUGAAUUGCAGAAUUCCGUGAAUCAUCGAAUCUUUGAACGCACAUUGCGCCCCUUGGUAUUCCAGGGGGCAUGCCUGUUUGAGCGUCAUUUCCUUCUCAAACAUUCUGUUUGGUAGUGAGUGAUACUCUUUGGAGUUAACUUGAAAUUGCUGGCCUUUUCAUUGGAUGUUUUUUUUCCAAAGAGAGGUUUCUCUGCGUGCUUGAGGUAUAAUGCAAGUACGGUCGUUUUAGGUUUUACCAACUGCGGCUAAUCUUUUUUUAUACUGAGCGUAUUGGAACGUUAUCGAUAAGAAGAGAGCGUCUAGGCGAACAAUGUUCUUAAAGUUUGACCUCAAAUCAGGUAGGAGUACCCGCUGAACUUAAGCAUAUCAAUAAGCGGAGGAAA
rnacentral:rRNA from 1 species